GUGUCAGCAGCCGCGGUAAAACGUAGGAGCCAAGCGUUAUCCGAAUUCACUGGGCGUAAAGCGCGUGCAGGCGGUCUGGUAAGUUGGAUGUGAAAUCUCCUGGCUCAACUGGGAGAGGCCGUUCAAUACUGUCAGACUAGAGGGCGACAGAGGGAGGUAGAAUUCCCGGUGUAGUGGUGAAAUGCGUAGAUAUCGGGAGGAAUACCAGAGGCGAAGGCGACCUCCUGGGUCGUACCUGACGCUCAGACGCGAAAGCUAGGGGAGCGAACGGGAUUAGAAACCCCGGUAGUCCUAGCCGUAAACGAUGUAGACUGGGUGUUGGCGGGGUAAAAGCCGUCAGUGCCGAAGCAAACGCGAUAAGUCUACCGCCUGGGGACUACGGCCGCAAGGUUAAA
rnacentral:rRNA from 1 species